rnacentral:rRNA from 1 species
GUGUGUAGGCUGGCCAUGCCACCGGUAUGUACUGGUCUUUCUGAUUCCUCCUUCCUGAUGAACUGUAAUGCCAUUAAUUUGGUGUUGCAGGGAAUCUGGACUGUUACUUUGAAAAUUAGAGUGUUUAAAGCAGGCUAACGCUUGAAUACAUUAGCAUGGAAUAAUGAAAUAGGACGUUCGAUCCUAUUUUGUUGGUUUCUAGGAUCGAUGUAAUGAUUAAUAGGAUAGUUGGGCUGGAGGACUGGCCAAAGGGGCACACAGGGGGGAU